GGCUCAAUGGUCUAGUGGUAUGAUUCGCGCUUCGGGAUUUUCUUGAAGCUUUCCAAAGCUUAAAAGAAGCCCCGUCGGAUAUCCGAUGAAGAAUGUGCGAGGUCUCGGGUUCGAAUCCCGAUUGAGCCC